UACAGAGGUCUCAAGCGUUGUUCGGAUUCAUUGGGCGUAAAGGGUGCGUAGGCGGCGCGGUAAGUCGGGUGUGAAAUCUCGGGGCUUAACUCCGAAACUGCAUUCGAUACUGCCGUGCUUGAGGACUGGAGAGGAGACUGGAAUUUACGGUGUAGCGGUGAAAUGCGUAGAUAUCUGGAGGAACACCGGUGGCGAAGGCGACAUCCUGGACCGGCAUUGACGCUGAGGCGCGAAAGCCAGGGGAGCAAAGCGGG
rnacentral:rRNA from 1 species